ACGAACGCUGGCGGCGUGCUUAACACAUGCAAGUCGAACGGGCCUGUCUUCUUUUUUGGGGGUGGGUUGAGUGGCGAACGGGUGAGUAUCACGUGAGUAACCUGCCCUUCGGUCCUGGAUAACCGCUUGAAAGGGCGGCUAAUACGGGGUGGUCCGGUUGGUCCGCAUGGGCUGGUCGGGAUAGAUUCACUGUUUUUGGUGUUUCGGCGGGGGAUGGGCUCGCGGCCUAUCAGCUUGUUGGUGGGGUGAUGGCCUACCAAGGCGGUGACGGGUAGCCGGCCUGAGAGGGUGGGCGGCCACACUGGGACUGAGAUACGGCCCAGACUCCUGCGGGAGGCAGCAGUGGGGGGUAUUGCACAAUGGGCGGAAGCCUGAUGCAGCGACGUCGCGUGAGGGAUGGAGGCCUUCGGGUUGUGAACCUCUGUUUCCGGUGGUGAAGGCCCUGUCCGUGUGGUGGGGUUGACGGUAGCCGGGGAUGAAGCGCCGGCUAACUACGUG
rnacentral:rRNA from 1 species